GACGAACGCUGGCGGCGUGCCUAACACAUGCAAGUCGAACGAGGUCCAUGCAGUGGCAACACUGCGGAAGACCUAGUGGCGAACGGGUGAGUAUCACGUGAGGAACCUGCCCCGAAGACCGGGAUAACUCUCCGAAAGGAGCGCUAAUACCGGAUGCCCCCACCGAACCGCAUGGUUUGGUGAGGAAAUGGAUUCCGCUUCGGGAGGGCCUCGCGGCCUAUCAGCUAGUUGGUGGGGUAACGGCCCACCAAGGCAUCGACGGGUAGCUGGUCUGAGAGGACGAUCAGCCACACUGGGACUGAGACACGGCCCAGACUCCUACGGGAGGCAGCAGUGGGGAAUCUUGCGCAAUGGGCGAAAGCCUGACGCAGCAACGCCGCGUGGGGGAUGAAGGCUUUCGGGUUGUAAACCCGUUUCAGCAGGGACGAAUCAAGACGGUACCUACAGAAGAAGCCCCGGCUAACUACGUGCCAGCAGCCGCGGUAAA
rnacentral:rRNA from 1 species